rnacentral:rRNA from 1 species
UGGACCUGAUAUCAGCA